rnacentral:rRNA from 1 species
AGAGUUUGAUCCUGGCUCAGGAUGAACGCUAGCGACAGGCUUAACACAUGCAAGUCGAGGGGCAGCGGGGUUGUAGCAAUACAACUGCCGGCGACCGGCGCACGGGUGAGUAACACGUAUGUAACCUGCCCUCUGCAGGGGGAUAAGCGGAAGAAAUUCCGUCUAAUACCGCAUAAUACAAUUUGGAGACAUCUCCGGGUUGUCAAAGGAGUGAUCCGGCAGAGGAUGGACAUGCGGCGCAUUAGCUAGUCGGCGGGGUAACGGCCCACCGAGGCUACGAUGCGUAGGGGUUCUGAGAGGAAGGUCCCCCACACUGGUACUGAGACACGGACCAGACUCCUACGGGAGGCAGCAGUGAGGAAUAUUGGUCAAUGGGCGGAAGCCUGAACCAGCCAAGUCGCGUGAGGGAAGACGGUCCUAUGGAUUGUAAACCUCUUUUGCAGGGGAGCAAGGCGCGGUACGUGUACCGCGAAGGAGAGUACCCUGAGAAAAAGCAUCGGCUAACUCCGUGCCAGCAGCCGCGGUAAUACGGAGGAUGCGAGCGUUAUCCGGAUUUAUUGGGUUUAAAGGGUGCGCAGGCGGACUGUUAAGUCAGCGGUAAAAUGUCGGUGCUCAACACCGGCCGGCCGUUGAAACUGGCAGCCUUGAGUGAGCGAGAAGUAUGCGGAAUGCGUGGUGUAGCGGUGAAAUGCAUAGAUAUCACGCAGAACUCCGAUUGCGAAGGCAGCAUACCGGCGCUCAACUGACGCUCAGGCACGAAAGCGUGGGUAUCGAACAGGCUUAGAUACCCUGGUAGUCCACGCAGUAAACGAUGAAUGCUCACUGUCCGGGCCGUUUAAGGCCUGGGUGGUCAAGCGAAAGCGUUAAGCAUUCCACCUGGGGAGUACGCCGGCAACGGUGAAACUCAAAGGAAUUGACGGGGGCCCGCACAAGCGGAGGAACAUGUGGUUUAAUUCGAUGAUACGCGAGGAACCUUACCCGGGCUCAAACGGAAGGGGACAGUAUGAGAAAUCAUACAUUCCUUCGGGACCGCUUCCGAGGUGCUGCAUGGUUGUCGUCAGCUCGUGCCGUGAGGUGUCGGCUUAAGUGCCAUAACGAGCGCAACCCCUAUCGACAGUUGCUAGCAGGUAAAGCUGAGGACUCUGUCGAGACUGCCG